UAAUACGUAUAGAAAUUAUUUUAUUACAUAUAUAAAAAGUAUGUGAAUCAAAACUAUCACAAUAUAUGAUUUGAUGAAUACUUUUUAUAUAUAUUAUAGUAGGUAAUUAAUGAAAUUGGCUAAAAAAGGGGAAAAGGGGGGAUUUGGAAGGAUAAAACAACACAAAAAAAUCAGCCCCGUCGCUGGCCCAGGGCAACUGGGGCGACCGCCCUGGGCCCCCAAAAAAAAAGACCACGUUGCUGAAAUGAAGGACUGAAGUUUGAAGGCCCUAAAUAAAAAAAAAACAAAAAAAAUUUGAUAUUCAUAAAUUAAGAUAUUCAAAGAAACGAUUUCUUUCCUAAUAUUCAGACAAUCUCCUCAACUUCUUUCCCCUAAUUUUCGGCCAUAAUAUUCUCUUUCCAAAGUAAUUUUAUUUCUCCAAAAAAAAUGUUCAAUCUUCAAUCUAAUCCCCAAGAUGUAUUUGUACACAAUUUUCAAUUUCAGUCAGACGAAUUGGGGUUGUUUCGAGAAUGGAGAUUCAAUUGAAGAGGAAAUCGAUCAAAAACGCUGUUUUCGAGUUGAAGAACAAUCAGAAGUUGGG